CACGGAAUUCCUCGUCAUUAUUUUCCUCAUAUAAUUUUUCCCAUAUCAUUUUGAAUCUUAUUACUGCAGAUGUGUGACAGAGCCAGUAUUAUCCUUGGCAGCAUCUUAUCAUUGAUUAGUCUUAGGAUUGGAUAAAGGCUUCAAUAAAGCAUAAAAGGCACAACCAUUCAGACAAUACUUGCUAAGCUUGUUUAAGUGUUUCCGUAUACUUCUGAAAGCCUUUUAUGUUAAGACACAGGGUAAAACCCUUGCUGUUUUGAUACCCUUUUACUUCCCCUUUCAGAGUAACUGUCCCAGCUUCAACGCACCAAAGCUCUGAUAUACUAUGAAAAUUGAUGCCAUCGUCACAGUGGAUCAAGAAGCAUGCAGACUAUUUUCUUGUCAAACUGAUGACCUGCUUCUGUAGCACUUCAUAUUGGUGUCUUCCAGGCCCCAAUGGCAGAUGUUAAGGAGGUCUACUGGAAACAUCAAGGAUUUCUUGGAUCAUAGACCGUUACCUAUGCUUUCUUUUGCCACCCUAUUGCCAAGAGCAGCAAGUUUUACCAUUCCUUAUUUCUGAGAAGUUGGUGUUAAAAGGAAGAUAAAGGCUCAUACAUCUGGAAGGUUGCAGAGCCAGUUUUCACAUCUAGGCUGUCUGACUCAGGAGUGCAUGCUUAUCAGCCAUGAGCAGUGGUGCUUCAUGAAGCAAAGUGGCAUCAGUACCAUACAAGACAUAGAGUAAGUAUGUGGAACCUGUGUUUUCCUUAUUCUUUUGUCUCCUUGGACAAAGUUUUAUAAUUACCACAUAUAUCAUGUGUUAUAAAUUAUGUAAGCUUGAAGUAACAUCAACUUUCUUUUUUUAAAAAAAGAUUUAUUUAUUUGAGAGAGAGAGAGAGAGAGAGCUCAAGUGGGG
rnacentral:lncRNA from 1 species